rnacentral:rRNA from 1 species
GCUUGCUUAAAGGGGCCGUAGCUGGUCUGGUAAAUCCUUUGUGAAAUCGUUAGGCUCAACCUAAUGGCGUGCAGGGGAGACUGCUAGACUCGAGACCGGGAGGGGUUAGGGGUAUUCUGAGGGGAGCGGUAAAAUGCUAUAAUCCUCAGAGGACCACCUGUGGCGAAGGCGCCUAACCAGAACGGAUCUGACAGUGAGGGACGAAAGCUAGGGGAACGAUCCGGAUUA